GUGCUCAACGCAGGGCGUUGCCAGCAUAAAUAAUGAAAGUGGAACAAUGCAGAGAAGACGAGCAUUAUUCCCUGUGCAAGGAUGACAUACAAAUUCAUGGAGCGUUUCACAUGUUU
ensembl:snRNA U6 U6 spliceosomal RNA